rnacentral:rRNA from 1 species
UACAGAGGGUGCAAGCGUUAAUCGGAUUUACUGGGCGUAAAGCGCGCGUAGGUGGCCAAUUAAGUCAAAUGUGAAAUCCCCGAGCUUAACUUGGGAAUUGCAUUCGAUACUGGUUGGUUAGAGUAUGGGAGAGGAUGGUAGAAUUCCAGGUGUAGCGGUGAAAUGCGUAGAGAUCUGGAGGAAUACCGAUGGCGAAGGCAGCCAUCUGGCCUAAUACUGACACUGAGGUGCGAAAGCAUGGGGAGCAAACAGG